rnacentral:rRNA from 1 species
AUUGAACGCUGGCGGCAUGCCUAACACAUGCAAGUCGAGCGGAUGAAGGGGGCUUGCUCCUGGAUUCAGUGGCGGACGGGUGAGUAAUUCCUAGGAAUCUGCCUUGUAUUGGGGGAUAACGUCCGGAAACGGGCGCUAAUACCGCAUACGUCCUGAGGGUGAAAGUGGGGGAUCUUCGGACCUCGCGCUAUCAGAUGAGCCUAGGUCGGAUUAGCUAGUUGGUGGGGUAAAGGCCUACCAAGGCGACGAUCCGUAACUGGCCUGAGAGGAUGAUCAGUCACACUGGAACUGAGACACGGUCCAGACUCCUACGGGAGGCAGCAGUGGGGAAUAUUGGACAAUGGGCGAAAGCCUGAUCCAGCCAUGCCGCGUGUGUGAAGAAGGUCUUCGGAUUGUAAAGCACUUUAAGUUGGGAGGAAGGGAAGUAAGUUAAUACCUUGCUGUUUUGACGUUACCAACAGAAUAAGCACCGGCUAACUUCGUG